rnacentral:lncRNA from 10 species
CACUCACAGCAAAGCCUCAGACAAGAGAGGAACCUGGAGGGGAGGAGGUCACCUUGCUCAAUCCAGGAGGCCGGAUGAUCAGAGUGUGUUCUGCAAAGGAGCGUGAGAAUCACUGGGGAGAUUUCCUUUUUCUUUUUCUUUCUCUUUUUUUAAUGGUACAGCUUCCUGGGCCCACCCCUGAGAUUCUGCACUUGUUUGGGGAGUGGGUGUUGGCUUCAUGACAGGCACCCCUGGGUGCUUUGGACACAGGCAGUGAGCUCCCCCCACACUGUGUGAACCCCUGAGAAGGCUUCUCCUUUUGUCUAGGGUGCCUGGGAGUCUGCUCCAGCAGCAAACCGGGGAGGGGAGGGGUACUGGGACCGAGUGUGUGUGGCAGCACCGUGUCCAGGCAAACUGAGGCUCCAGACGGGGGUUACUUCUUCAGACCCUGUUAUGCAGCAUGGUUCCCACUGCCCGUGCCCAGAAUUCACCAUAGCUGAUGGGCCUGGGGUGGGCCUCCGGGGCAGGCCAGGGUGGAAAGUGCAUCUGUGUUUGAGCUUUGCGGCCCUGGCGCUGGAGUUAGAUCCCUACAGGAAAGGACAUUGUAACCCAGCCCGUGGUUGAGACUAGCAGCUGCUGAGCACCUACGCCCUGCUAGGCUGUGGGGCAACAGCAAAGGGUAACCCCCAGCCUGCAGCCUCAGGGGGGCUUCCCAUCUAGCGAGGGGCCCAGGGAGGCCAUGAGGAGAGCCAUGAGGGAGGA